AGCCCAACCUAAACCUAAUUGCAAGUAGAAGAGUAGAGCGUGAGCAACGAGCUUCUCCUCCAGUGGCUUCUUCUUUUCCAUUGAUGCGAGCUUCUCCUCCAUCGAGUUUCGGCGUUCUAUCUUGUGCGAGCUUCUUAUCCUAAGUCGUCUUUUCCGUGUCCGUUCUCCCUUCUAGAAUUCGAAAUCUUCAUCACUGCUGCUCUGCGAGCUUCUCCUCCAUCAAUGAUUCUUCCCCUCCAUCGAUGUCAUGUCCAUCAAUGCUUCUCCUCUGAUGGUACAUUUGCUUCGGUGGAUGCGAUUUGAGAGGUGUUUAUGUGUGUUCUGACAAAGGGAUCGAGUGUGAGUGGGGACACACCCCCAAACCAUUUGGAUUAUCAUUGCAAAUUGUUGUUAUUAUUUUGGCAGAUUCCUGAUUUUGCAUGCUCGCCAAAUCCAGAGAGUGAGUAUAUUAUCCUAUUCAAAGCUUCUCUUUCAAUUAUUCUUUGAUAUUGUACUUGAUUUAGAUAUUUGGGAUCUAUAUGCUGAAAGAUGAGCACGAACCAACCUUAGAAGACGUUCUGCAACCUGGCAAGAACAUGUUGGCAGCUGGUUAUUGUAUGUACAGUAGCUCUUGCAUGCUUGUUUUGCUGUUGAUCAUUGGUCCGGGCAUGGGCACUUCGUGCCAUGGCAGGAAUUCGCCUUCAUGUAAUUGCACCUCUUGUUCUUGUUGCGGUGGGAAAAUGUGUUUAAUCAGGAUAUAACUAAUCAAGCGCUGCUUAUAUGAGGGACCGCAGUAGAAUGAUCAAACAGAUGCGGUUGAGAAAAUCUGCUGUUAGUGUAUUUGGAUAUGUUCAUGAGGUUAAGGAUAACAUGAAAGACAGGGAAGCCCAAACUGAUGGUGAUCCUGAACUUCUGGAUGAUUCUGAAUUUUUUCAGCAAUAACUGAGAGAAUUUUGAGACAGUUGAUCUUAAUUCAUCUGGUAAAACACGUUGUGGCUGAAAAUCUUCACAUAUAGCUCUUUUUUCGGCCAGUAUUUUUAAUUUCCUCAUCAGUAAUAUCCGCCUUGAGGUUUCUAUCACUCCCAGAUCCCAAAUUCUCUGAAGGCCCAUGCAUUUGAUGCUGUGAAGAAGGGUGAUACUAUUUUUAUUGGUCAAUACCUGUUUACAAGAAAUGAAACAACUUCUGUGCGGCGAGGAAUUGGAUCAAGAGAGUAAGAUUCCAUCGCCAAAAGAGUUAAAAAGUAGAUCUUUUGAAGCGAAUAAUAGAGCAAGUGUGAUUUUUUUUUAUGAUAGAGACUUGAUGUAUUAAGAGUUAUAUAUUAAGACUUUCAAUAUUAUAUUUGUAUAGGAGUUAUUAUUUUUUAUUUCCAAUACUAAAAAAUUAUAUAUUAUGUUUAAUAUUUUAUUUA